UUUUUUUUGUGGGCGGUGGUCGGCCGGUGAGUCUGGCUGAGUUAGGUGUUCCACUCGGGGGCGGCAGCGGCGGUGGAAGAUUGAAAUUUAAAGGUUGUAUUAUGGGGUUUUGGCAUCAGAUGAUUUUUCCGGUACGGCGGGUUUGGCUCGCCGUUUAUGGCCGUCUUAAAUCUCGCAAAAACGAUGAAGGACUUCUGAAGCUUCAUGACGAUGUAGAAACGUGUGGGUAUCAAGAUGUAAAGGUUAUGUGGGAAAUCCUGAGAAGAUCAGAAGCUGAGUUAAUAAAUCAACAUCCACAAACGAGACGCAAGCAGAAGCCAUUUUGGAAGGCUUUCCUGUGGUCUAACCCUAACUCUAACCCAUCCACUAAAAUACCAAAAAUCACAAGUUUUCCAACCUUCACCCCUGUUUCUGUUUCAUAGGGGACUCUUAAAAUGCCUCAAACAAAUAAUGUAAAAAUAUCUUAAUGUUGUAUUUUUGGCACUUUUAGGCCAUUUUGCGUCUACACAAAGUGAAUUGUUGUAAAUAGA
rnacentral:misc_RNA from 1 species